UACGUAGGGUGCGAGCGUUGUCCGGAAUUCUUGGGCGUAAAGGGCUCGUAGGCGGUUUGUCGCGUCGGGAGUGAAAACCCAGGGCUUAACUCUGGGCUUGCUUUCGAUACGGGCAGACUAGAGGUAUGCAGGGGAGAACGGAAUUCCUGGUGUAGCGGUGAAAUGCGCAGAUAUCAGGAGGAACACCGGUGGCGAAGGCGGUUCUCUGGGCAUUACCUGACGCUGAGGAGCGAAAGUGUGGGGAGCGAACAGG
rnacentral:rRNA from 1 species